ACGGCUUGAUUUAACCUCUUAGAAGUUUUCAUGCACGUGAUAAGAUCCAAGAGCCGUGAAUAUUAGGGGCAGUAUGGUCAUUUUAUAUUGGUAAUGCCGCGUGUUUUUUCUCGUGUUCGCAGCACACUUUUCAAGUAAAAAACGAGGAGAGCGUGACGGCGAUUGUUGUGGCAAUCGGUGUCUAAUUACUUCUAUCGCUGAUAGAAGCAAUGGUACAGAUGAUGUCUUCCAGACGCAAAGUGAAGCUGGAGGAGUUUCUCGAUUCAUGCGACCCUUCUUCCGUUCCUAAACGGUCCAAGUUCCUGGCGCUCACUUCUCUGCAGUGUGGUGUGGAAGGAGGAGGAUUGGGUCCUUUGGGUUUCAUUCGGAUGAGACUUUCUCAGCGAAAUUCCUCAAACUGAUAAGCUCAACUUCCUCAAGCUCUCUUCUUUCCCAAGGCCAAAACACUACUGAAAAUCCGUGUCGUGUGAGUGCAGUACAAGUUGAGAUACGAGGAGGACCUGGUGGGCAAAUGUUAUUUCGCAAAACACAAGCUUGUGUGGGAAACGCUUGAUGGUGGUCUCGAGAGAACAAGAUUGAGAUACAGUGGUCAGAUGUCGUUGCCAUCAAAGCCAAUUACUCUCAUGAUGGACCCGACACCCUGGAUGUUGUGGUACUUCACUUCUGCCGAUGAUGGUGAAUUUUCUUUGCAGUUGGCAAGGCCGCCCCUUUUCUCCAGGGAGACAAAUCCUCAGCCAAGGAAACAUACUUUGUGGAAGGCCACUUCUGGUUUCACUGGUGGUCAAGCCAGCUUGAAUAAGUGCCAUGUCCUGCAGUGUCCACCGGGUCUCUUAGGCAGGCAUUUGGAAAAGCUUAUUCAAUGUGAUCCGCAGCUACACUUUCUCAGCCAACAGCCAGAGAUCUUUCUAGAGUCCCCAUAUAUCUUGAAUCCAGAUCUUCAUUAUAUGAUGAUACUAAUGAAUCAGCCAGUAUCCCGACACUGGAGAUUGGUCUUCCAUCCACGGCUCCUGCUACUCAAACACCUUCCUCAGUAGAUGACUGCAAGUUUUCCAAUGGAGUUCCAGAGGAUGUUUGCCUAGCAAUUCCUUCAACUAGCUCAGUGAUAGAUACACGCACAAUUGAGAACUUUCGGGGCAGCAGGAGGAAGGGAUGGGGGCAAGAUGACUGCACGACGACGGGGAUCCAUCCGUCAGCAUCUGUAAGUGAUCUGUUGAGUCGCAUUGGACACUGCAUAUCCCAAGCAAUGGCAUCUGGAAAUCCCAUGUUUUCGGAGGACAACCUGCAAAACAAAGUCACCACGAGGGAGAUUGCCCAGUGCCUGCUGAAUGAUACAAUGCUUGUAUCUACCUCAGAUGAACAGAUAAUGUCAAUAGUGAAUUCUCUUUGUUUCUUGCUGCAAAAGGGCAGUUCCUUGAAUGCAGGGGAAAGCAAGGGGUUUGGCAUUUGAUUGGCAAAUCCGAAAGAAGAUGAGCAGUUGGGUACAAUCCCUAGGAACGAGUCCCCGAGUGAUAUUCUUCCGAGGAUCGCGUCUCUGCCUCAGUUUUUGUACGCCAUCUCUGAAAAUUAUUGAGAACCAAGCAUAAACACUAUACAGGACAUGCAGAGGAGUAAUGUUAAAGAAUCCCUUGUCUGCUUUGUCAUGUAAUUGUUACUCCGUAGCUGUUCUUGUGUAAUGCUAGUUGUUCUGCAGACAACAUAAUAUGAGCAGAAUUACUGGUGGUGUUCUGUUAAGGUUCAGAAUCUGAAA